CCAUACCAGCUUGUCAAAGCCUGAUCUCGUCAGAGCUCAACAAUUCCAGGCCUGGUUAGUACUUGGACAGGAGACCACUGGGAAUACCAGGUG
rnacentral:rRNA from 1 species